GAGAUCAUUCUUGGAGCGCACCGCGAGUGCUCACCGUUCCUUUCGCCUACCUCCCUCCCAUUACGAGGGCCACCCCACUUCCAACCGGGGACGAACCCUAGACUUGCAUCCUGCCCUCCUCCGACCCCGCGACAAUGGCCGAUGCAUACUGGAGGUACGGCGAUGCGCGCCACCAGGCGGCUGCGGCGGCGAUGGCGCCUCCCCCCGCCACUCUCAAGCGACCUCGUGCGGAGUACCAGUAUGUGCCUAGUGGUUCCGACGUGUUUGCCUAUUACCCUCGUGAGGAUGAAGGGACUGCGCAUCCUACUGUCAGGGAUACUGAAUCCCUUGGGGCUUCAUAUGAUCGUUACUUACGCAAUGGGAUUUCUUCUUAUGGUGCUGGUGAGUCUGUUAGGCCUGUGGGUGGAGGAAUUAAUAACCAACCUAUUGAUGAUCGACGAAUCAUCAGUAUCGGAAGCUUGGAUGGUCGGAGUGCUGGAUAUGGUGGCAGAAGGCCUGAACCUCCGCUUCCUCCAGAUGCUUCAAAUACUUUAUUUGUGGAGGGCCUCCCUGCUGACUGUACACGCAGGGAAGUCUCUCACAUUUUCCGCCCUUUUGUAGGGUUCCAAGAGGUGAGACUUGUGAACAAGGAAUCCAGACAUCCUGGGGCUGAUCCACUUGUCCUAUGCUUUGUUGAUUUUGCCACUACAGCCCAAGCUGCAAUUGCAUUGGAAGCUUUGCAAGGGGAAACGGAAAGAGUAUGUUGACCACCCAGUACAUUCACCACUAGGACACCUGAAGCUAUGGUGCUUACACUGUUCCGAGAAGAUACAUGAUGGCCUGGAGUUGUUGAAGUCUUAUCUAUGCCUGAUACAGGUCAUAUUUGCAAAACAGUCAAACGGAGAGGUUGAAAACCGAUGUUGUGUCGGCAUACAAUGGAAGUUUUUGGAAUGGUCGUUUGGUAUGACGUCUCUCUCGAAACUAUUUGCAACCCAUACUGAGGAGGUGAAGGAGAUUUCACGUUUGGUGGACUUUUCUGCUUGUGGUGUUUUGAGGUAGUAAUGCCAUCUCUCUUUUCCUCGAUUAUGAUUGGUGCAUUAGGACGGCUGGUUGGGUCAUCUAUUUAUAAUACCUACUCUAAUAUCUAACUUCAUAAUCCAGCCAUUUUUGCAACGAGGAAAAUUUACAUCCCAAGUCUUACUCAUUUUCAUCAUAAAGAACGCUCGAAUACAUUUAUGAAAGGGAAAGUUUGUAUGCGUUUGUACGUUUAUAAUAUUAAAAUUUAAGUUUAGCAUGUAUGUCCAUUUUAAGUUCCAAAAUUGUACGUGUCUAAUUAUCAUAUAAGUUAGUUAAAACUCUAAUUAGCAUUAAUAAAGAUUAUCGUUUGAUUGGUA